UACGUAGGUGGCAAGCGAUACUCGGAAUCACUAGGCGUAAAGCGCAGGUAGGCGGUUCGGUAAGUCUUUUGUGAAAGCUCCUGGCUCAACUGGGAGAGGUCAAAGGAAACUACCGGGCUAGAGUUUGGUAGGGGAUACUGGAAUUCCUGGUGUAGCGGUGAAAUGCGUAGAUAUCAGGAGGAAUACCUAUGGCGAAAGCAGGUAUCUGGGCCACAACUGACGCUGAGCUGCGAAAGCUAGGGGAGCAAACAGG
rnacentral:rRNA from 1 species